CCGCCUCACUUCCGCUUCCGGCCCCGCCUCUUCCGCUUUGGCUCUGUGUCUGAUAGCGUCGUCGGUGCCGCCAUCGCCGUAAAUAUUCGUAUCGUCCGCGUUGCUUUUGAUAAGCCUAUGUGUGCAACCAGGUGGUGAUUAUGUCAUCUGCUGAGAUGAGGAAGAGGCCUCACUUGUCCAGGGCAGCAGCUUGACUUCACGUUGCCUGUCAUUGGCGCAGCAUGGCUUCUGCUCACCGCAAUACAACUAGCCAUUUUUUACUCUUGGGGUGAGUGUGUGUGCCUUACAGCCUGAAACCCACUUCCUGAGAUGAGCCCCAGUAUGCUUGCUCGCAGACCUGGGCCACUUCCGUUUCUCUUGGUUGGGCCUAGCUCCCUCAUCUACCCUUUCCAGUACCUUUUCUGUCCUCAGAUCUGGGAAGCCAGGGCCCCUGCCCUGGACUGUGUACUUGAGAGGACCUUACUCUGGCUCUCCUCCAGCUACACUCUGCAGAACGAAGAGACCACAAGGCCAAGAAUUUAAGCUCCACAAGAACAGAAGUUUUGGUAUAUUUUGUUCACCGAGGAUUCCCAAGCCUGUAGAACAGUGCUGGCACACAGUAGGUGCCCAAUAAAUAUUUUUGGAAUAAAUGAAA